CAAAGAUUGAGUGCCUCUCUGAAUGUUUUCCCAUCAGUAAGACUCCUCCGAUCUUUAGAGCAAGCAAAAAUGACACCUUGGAUGAACCUGAUAUUGUUAUUGUUAAUCCUACAAGGUGUCCAGUCAGAGGUCCAGUUGGUGAAAUCUGGAGGGGAUGUGAGAAGACCUGGAGAAUCCCUCCGCCUCUCCUGCCAAGGCUCUGGAUUCACCUUCAGCAGCUAUGGCAUGAGCUGGGUGAGGCAAUAUCCAGGGAAAGGCCUGGAAUGGGUGGCAUACAUAAGCUCUGGUUCCAGCAGUAUUAACUACUCAGACAAGGUCAAGGGACGCUUCACCAUCUCCCGGGACAAUGCCAAAAGCCAGCUGUAUCUGCAAAUGAACAACCUCAAGUUGGAGGACACGGGACUCUAUUACUGUGCAGGAAACACA